AUCGAAAGGUGACUUUUUGAUUGAAGAUAAAGCAGGGUGACGAAGUUUCUCUUCUUCGUUCUUGCUGGUGUUAACCAGUAGUAUCUACCCGCCGCCGCCGGUAAAUCUCGCCGGGAAUUAGUAGUAAUGCUGAAGAAGAUUCAGGGAUAAGCGGAGGACUAGGAGGAAAGAAAGGUUAGAAAAGAUCCAACAUUUAAAUGGGCCGACAUGUUUUAUUGGUUCGAUUGGGCCUAAUCCAAAGAAAGCACUGGCGUGCUCAAGUGUUAAAACCAAGAAGCUUGUGUGGUUGUGUUGAGUUUAGG
rnacentral:lncRNA from 1 species